AUACAAAAUACAUAAAUUCUGAGAAAAUACAGUGUUUACAUUGAAAGCUAGGAACACCUCCAGUUGCAGUCACUCCGAGUGAACCAGAGGGACUUCCGAGUUGAUGGAGGCAUAAAACUCCUCAAUCCACUCAGAUCAGCUAUGUGCAACACUGUGCACGAGCAUCCUGUCUGCAGGCUGUCACGUGGUAUUGAGAGCUGACAGGCUGGAGGAGCUGACAGGAUGAAGACCAGAGACCGAGCAGGAGGGGAGGAUUCAAACU